rnacentral:rRNA from 1 species
UACGUAGGUGGCAAGCGUUGUCCGGAAUUAUUGGGCGUAAAGCGCGCGCAGGCGGUCCUUUAAGUCUGAUGUGAAAGCCCACGGCUCAACCGUGGAGGGUCAUUGGAAACUGGGGGACUUGAGUGCAGAAGAGGAAAGUGGAAUUCCACGUGUAGCGGUGAAAUGCGUAGAGAUGUGGAGGAACACCAGUGGCGAAGGCGGCUCACUGGACCGGUUCUGACGCUGAGGCGCGAAAGCGUGGGGAGCAAACGGG